AAGUCGUAACAAGGUUUCCGUAGGUGAACCUGCGGAAGGAUCAUUAACACGUAUCCAACGUAAAACCCCCCUGUGAACCUUCAGACCUGUUCUCCUAGCCCAGUGCGAUCCAGCAAUCCCGGUAAAUCAUUGUUGAACAGUAUUGAUUCGGGACCUCUGACAAAUGAGAAGUUACAGUUAGGAUAUGAGCGGAGAUAGCUGCAUGGCAUCCCGAAGCAGUCAGUGUCUGAAAGUGUCAUUGAUUGUCUAAGGAUCUCGCUUCUACGGGGUGAUAAAGGGGCAUGGGGACCCGGUUGCAUGUCUGCUGGUCGGUGAGCGACCCUAAGCAAUCAAUAACUCUGUGACUCCACGGGAAACCAGUGGGGUAAAAAAACUCGAACAACUGUUAACAAUGGAUAUCUUGGUUCUC
rnacentral:misc_RNA from 1 species